rnacentral:rRNA from 1 species
CGGGUGCUAACGUCCGUCGUGAAGAGGGAAACAACCCAGACCGCCAGCUAAGGUCCCAAAGUCAUGGUUAAGUGGGAAACGAUGUGGGAAGGCCCAGACAGCCAGGAUGUUGGCUUAGAAGCAGCCAUCAUUUAAAGAAAGCGUAAUAGCUCACUGGUCGAGUCGGCCUGCGCGGAAGAUGUAACGGGGCUAAACCAUGCACCGAAGCUGCGGCAGCGAACGUAUCACCCAAGACAACUUUACGGAGUUGACGAUUGACGGAGCGAAGCGACGUCAAAGCGUUCAUUAAAGUCGAGUUGGCUUAGGGAUACGUUCGUUGGGUAGGGGAGCGUUCUGUAAGCCUGUGAAGGUGUGUCGUGAGGCAUGCUGGAGGUAUCAGAAGUGCGAAUGCUGACAUAAGUAACGAUAAAGCGGGUGAAAAGCCCGCUCGCCGGAAGACCAAGGGUUCCUGUCCAACGUUAAUCGGGGCAGGGUGAGUCGACCCCUAAGGCGAGGCCGAAAGGCGUAGUCGAUGGGAAACGGGUUAAUAUUCCCGUACUUGGUGUUACUGCGAAGGGGGGACGGAGAAGGCUAUGUUGGCCGGGCGACGGUUGUCCCGGUUUAAGCGUGUAGGUGUGUGUUCCAGGUAAAUCCGGUUCACUUUAACACUGAGGCGUGACGACGAGGCACUACGGUGCUGAAGCAACAAAUGCCCUGCUUCCAGGAAAAGCCUCUAAGCAUCAGGUAACACGAAAUCGUACCCCAAACCGACACAGGUGGUCAGGUAGAGAAUACCAAGGCGCUUGAGAGAACUCGGGUGAAGGAACUAGGCAAAAUGGUGCCGUAACUUCGGGAGAAGGCACGCUGACAC